AACGAACGCUGGCGGCAGGCCUAACACAUGCAAGUCGAACGCCCCUUUCGGGGGGAGUGGCAGACGGGUGAGUAACACGUGGGAACGUGCCUUCUGGUUUGGGAUAACCCAGGGAAACUUGGGCUAAUACCGGAUACGCCCCGGAGUGAUCUGGGGGAAAGAUUUAUCGCCGGAAGAUCGGCCCGCGUCUGAUUAGCUAGUUGGUGGGGUAAUGGCCCACCAAGGCGACGAUCAGUAGCUGGUUUGAGAGGAUGAUCAGCCACACUGGGACUGAGACACGGCCCAGACUCCUACGGGUGGCUG
rnacentral:rRNA from 1 species